rnacentral:rRNA from 1 species
UACGUAGGGGGCAAGCGUUGUCCGGAUUUACUGGGUGUAAAGGGUGCUCAGGUGGCUUUGUAAGUCAGGCGGUGAAAUCAUUAGAGCUCAACUCUGAAACUGCCGUUGAUUACUAACUUGGACUUGAGUAUGGAAGAGGUUGAUGGAAUUUCAGGUGUAGCAGUGAAAUGCGUAGAUAUCUGAAAGAACACCAGUGGCGAAGGCGGUCAACUG